rnacentral:lncRNA from 1 species
AUCGAUCUGAUGAUGCAUCGAUGCGAGCAUCGAUGCUCGCUCAGCAGCAGCUGUAGCUGCAGCGAGCCACACAUUGAUAAUCAACUGCAGCUGAUGAGUGGGUAGGUGUAGCAAGCUACAUUUGCCUUAGAAUAUCUNUAAGCUAUUAAAGCUUAAUCACAGUAACGGUACGGUCCCGUAUUUACGAACCAUACUCGUUAACUGUACGAACUCACUUUCUGGUACGCUAUCACAACCUAGCGUACGACACCAAGACUCCAGGAAUGGAGAUGGCGGCAGGUGGGCCGCAUUUAAGCCACCCAGGUGAAGUGCUUCGGCCAGACACUUAACGUAUCACUAUACUAGUGUUCAGGGUUCAAGACCUUGCUGUCACCGUUCUCGACGUAUGUCUUCGAAUCCCGACUUCCCUUGUCUCUUCUCACGCCUAACGCUGGGUCGCCAAUCGUGGACGAGACCCUCUGCUUCCGCUAAAACAGCUAAGGUAAGAGACGGCUGUUACAGUAGGAUGGCAUGCAUAUGGGUUCACAAAACAUACUACAUGGGUGUGCAAGUCCUGCUGGACAUGCUCCAGCGAUAACAUACAUUACAACCGGAUGCGAAAUAAUCUUAUCAGUACAGGUUUUAUUAUUCGUCGCUGCCGUACGCACACAUACAUACAUACAUAUAUAUACGUAAUACGUAUGUAUAUAUAUACAUAUAAAUAUACAUAUAUAUAUAAUACCUUAAAGUCAUAACAUGUGUAAAUCCAUAUAUGUAUGUACAUGUACAUACAGAAAAUGCAUGUAUAUGCAUAGAUCGGCAUAUAGUUAACAACCAAUGAAUCGCAAAGUUAUCAGGAAACAGCCUGCAUGUAUCAAAUCCCAGGCGACUCAUCUUUCAUUAAUUUUGUGACAUGUAUUGCUUAUGUAGGUGGCUGUAUCUGUGCACAUACAUAAUAAGAACUAUUACCACUGAUUCCGGUGUGUAUGCAUGCGUGUGUAUAUGUAUAUGUACAUAUCUAUGCGGUAGAGAUUUCUCCCUAAUUAUCAUAUGCAUAGGUUCUCUAGGUAAUCAAUUAUCCCCAUCAGUAGNNNNNNNNNNNNNNNNNNNNNNNNNNNNNNNNNNNNNNNNNNNNNNNNNNAGCUGUAGCUGCAGCGAGCCACACAUUGAUAAUCAACUGCAGCUGAUGAGUGGGUAGGUGUAGCAAGCUACAUUUGCCUUAGAAUAUCUUUAAGCUAUUAAAGCUUAAUCACAGUAACGGUACGGUCCCGUAUUUACGAACCAUACUCGUUAACUGUACGAACUCACUUUC